CCUACGGGAGGCAGCAGUGGGGAAUAUUGGACAAUGGGGGGAACCCUGAUCCAGCCAUGCCGCGUGUGUGAAGGAGGCCCUCGGGUUGUAAAGCACUUUCAGUGAGGAAGAACGCCUGGUGGUUAAUACCCAUCAGGAAAGACAUCACUCACAGAAGAAGCACCGGCUAACUCCGUGCCAGCAGCCGCGGUAAUACGGAGGGUGCGAGCGUUAAUCGGAAUUACUGGGCGUAAAGCGCGCGUAGGUGGCUUGAUAAGCCGGUUGUGAAAGCCCCGGGCUCAACCUGGGAACGGCAUCCGGAACUGUCAAGCUAGAGUGCAGGAGAGGAAGGUAGAAUUCCCGGUGUAGCGGUGAAAUGCGUAGAGAUCGGGAGGAAUACCAGUGGCGAAGGCGGCCUUCUGGACUGACACUGACACUGAGGUGCGAAAGCGUGGGUAGCAAACAGGAUUAGAUACCCGUGUAGUC
rnacentral:rRNA from 1 species